rnacentral:rRNA from 1 species
CUUGACCGGACAAGUAGCAUAAUCUAUUGUCUUUUAAUUAAAGGCUUGUAUGAAUGGUUGGAUGAGAUAUCAACUAUUUUUAUUUUAAUAAAAAUGAAUUUUAAUUUUUAGUAAAAAUGCUAAAAUAAAAAAAUUAGACGAGAAGACCCUAUAAAUCUUUAUUUUUAAAAGAUAAUAUUAAUUUUGUAAAUUAUUAAAUAUUUAUUUUUAAAAAAUUUAAUUGGGAGGAUAAUGAAAUUUAAUAAACUUUUAUUUUAUUUUAUAAAUAUAAUUAAAUUAAUGAAUAUAUUAUAAUGUUUAAAAAAUUAAGUUACUUUAGGGAUAACAGCGUAAUUAUUUUAAAGAGUUCUUAUCGAUAAAAUAGUUUGCGACCUCGAUGUUGAAUUAAGAAUUAAUUAGGCGCAAAAGCUA